rnacentral:rRNA from 1 species
UACGUAGGGUGCGAGCGUUAAUCGGAAUUACUGGGCGUAAAGCGUGCGCAGGCGGUUUUGUAAGCCAGAUGUGAAAGCCCCGGGCUUAACCUGGGAAUGGCAUUUGGGACUGCAAGGCUGGAGUUUGGCAGAGGAGACUGGAAUUCCUGGUGUAGCAGUGAAAUGCGUAGAUAUCAGGAGGAAUACCGAUGGCGAAGGCAGGUCCUGGCUCGUAUCUGACGCUGAGGUGCGAAAGCUAGGGGAGCGAACGGG